rnacentral:rRNA from 1 species
GAUGAACGCUGACAGAAUGCUUAACACAUGCAAGUCAACUGUGGCGGACGGGUGAGUAACGCGUAAAGAACUUGCCUCACAGAUAGGGACAACAUUUGGAAACGAAUGCUAAUACCUGAUACUGUGAGAGAGCUUUGCGUCCCAUUAGCUAGUUGGAGAGGUAACGACUCACCAAGGCGAUGCUGGGUAGCCGGCCUGGGAGGGUGAUCGGCCACAAGGGGAAUGGGAGACAGCCCUUACUCCUACGGGAGGCUGCAGUGGGGAAUAUUGGACAAUGGACCAAAGUCUAGUCCAGCAAUUCUGUGUGAAAGAUGAAGUUUUCGGACUGUAAAGUGCUUUCAGUUGGGAAGCAGUACCAACAUAAGAAGUGACGGCUAAAUACGUGCCAGCCGCCGCGGUAAUAC